rnacentral:rRNA from 1 species
UACUCCUACGGGAGGCAGCAGUGGGGAAUAUUGCACAAUGGGCGUAAGCCUGAUGCAGCGACGCCGCGUGGGGGAUGACGGCCUUCGGGUUGUAAACCUCUUUCGACAGGGACGAAGCUUUUGUGACGGUACCUGUAUAAGAAGCACCGGCUAACUACGUGCCAGCAGCCGCGGUAAU